rnacentral:rRNA from 1 species
ACAAGCGGUGGAUGAUGUGGUUUAAUUCGAUGACAACGCGAAAACCUUACCCACCUUUGACAUGUACGGAACCCUUUAGAGAUAGAGGGGUGCUCGAAAGAGAGCCGUAACACAGGUGCUGCAUGACUGUCGUCAGCUCGUGUCGUGAGAUGUUGGGUUAAGUCCCGCAACGAGCGCAACCCUUGUCAUUAGUUGCUACAUUCAGUUGGGCACUCUAAUGAGACUGCCGGUGACAAGCCGGAGGAAGGUGGGGAUGACGUCAAGUCCUCAUGGCCCUUAUAGGUGGGGCUACACACGUCAUACAAUGGCUGGUACAAAGGGUUGCCAACCCGCGAGGGGGAGCCAAUCCCAUAAAGCCAGUCGUAGUCCGGAUCGUAGUCUGCAACUCGACUACGUGAAGUCGGAAUCGCUAGUAAUCGUGGAUCAGAAUGUCACGGUGAAUACGUUCCCGGGUCUU